rnacentral:rRNA from 1 species
AUGAAAGUUGCUCAGAACGACGAGACGAAUCCGGAUACGCAACCCGUUCGUCCACCACGCAUCCCUAGCAUAGCGAACACGCAACUUUCCCCCUCCGGUUUAUCUGUCCGAAAACGUGAAACACCGUGGAUACUUUCCCGGAUGUUUUCCCCCUUCGCCGAUAUCACCUCCUACCGCGUUAGGUCACACCCGUCACAUCUUAUUGCCAUGUUAUGCUUUGUGGUGCUCUGUUUGCUUUAUAUUUACUGUUUCUUCCCCCUCUUCUCUCCGGUAGACCCCGAGACCGAUGCUGCUCUUGUGAUCGACUACGUCGACUACGACCCCCCUCCUUGCCAGAGCAACCAGAUGACGGAUCCCAGGAGCCAGACGACGCCACUCAUGACUACUACUAUCCGGAGGAUGCCUACUACUACGUGA